rnacentral:rRNA from 1 species
UACGUAGGGUGCAAGCGUUGUCCGGAAUUAUUGGGCGUAAAGGGCUCGUAGGCGGUUUGUCGCGUCGGGAGUGAAAACUCAGGGCUUAACCCUGAGCCUGCUUCCGAUACGGGCAGACUAGAGGUAUGCAGGGGAGAACGGAAUUCCUGGUGUAGCGGUGAAAUGCGCAGAUAUCAGGAAGAACACCCGUGGCUAAGGCGGCUCUCUAGUACGGUACUGACGCUGAGACGCGAAAGCCGUGGGGAGCGAACAGG